rnacentral:lncRNA from 1 species
AUGCUAAUAUGCUAUAAAUAUACAUCUAGGGUUAGGGCUUGGUCAUUGCCACCACAAAGCCAUAAGCUCUUAUUCCUUCUCUCUCUCUCUCUCUCUCUCUCUCUCUCUCUCUCUCUCUCUCUCUCUCUCCCCCACCACCUUCUAAUCUCUUCAUCUUUUGAUUCUGAGUCAAAAACCCAGCCAGUAAAUUUCAUCAAAAUGUCAAAGAGGAUCAUCUAGAGAGAAAUUAAGAGAGCCAAUUAAUAAAGAAGAUCUUGAAUAGCCAGCGAUCUAAUUACAAAAACUUAAAUGAGGAAGCGACAAGUAGUUGUGAGAAGAUCAGAAGAAGGUUCAGCGACUUCAUCUUUCACGAUGAGGAGCGUGAGAUAUGGAGAGUGCCAGAAGAACCAUGCCGCCGGUGUUGGAGGCUAUGCCGUUGAUGGUUGCAGAGAGUUCAUGGCAAGUAACGGAGAGGAGGGCACAACUGCUGCACUCACCUGUGCUGCCUGUGGCUGCCACCGGAACUUCCACAGACGAGAGGUCGAGACUGUCUGCGAGUGCCCUUCACCUUCAGCAAAUGGGCUAAAUUAAGCAAUCAAGCAGCUCAUGAUUUCUGUAAAUGUAAUUAUUAUAAUUAAGUGUGGGUUUGGGAGUGUUGUGUUUGUUUUUCUGGUUUGAUGAUGAUAUGAAAAUAGGUAGACCGCCUACUAUAUAUAUACAAGUGUGUGGAUGGAUAAAAAGGUAUAUGUUGAUGUUUGUAUUUCCCAGUUGAUUUAAGUGUGUGCAGCUUAAAGGAAAACAAGAAGCAGUUUUGGUGUAUUAUCAUAUGAGAUCAGGAUGACAUUACAUGAUGAUCAUGAAGCAGUGAAAAAAAAGGUAUGCUGUUUAAUCAAAGGGUGUACACAGACAAGUCACCUACCUGGCUAAUAGUUUCUGUAUUUGAUUCUUGUAUUUAAUUAUAUACCUGUCCAUUUGUAGUUGAAGCCUCUUUAUUUCUAUGAUUCGUAAGUGUAUAUAAUUGGCAUACUUUAGCAUCAAUUCAUUUGUAGUGUUGACUGAUCUUAAUAGUAAUUAACUUCUGGAAAUCCUUCUGCUAUAAUUAAAUUAACCCAAAUCUCAAAUUAAUAAUGUGGAAAUGCUUAGAUUACUUUGUAUUUAAGAUUGAAGGCCCACAUAUAUCUAAUCAUGUUGGUGGUGGUUAUAAUGGAGGGUAGCAAAACGUACUUGAAAGGUGAUUAAAGCUUAAACUAAAUCAUCCACUAAUGCUAAUUGAGCUAAUUUGAUCAUCUCUUUUGGUAGGUCAAAUCAACGUAUAUUUUGAUUAUCCCAAGAACCAAAAACCAAGAACGAACGUUAGAGAAAGCUCCACGAGGCUCUCACAAAAACAAGUUCAUUUCUUUGGCAAAAAUACAAUAGAACAUGAAGAAGUUGGAAGUUGGAAGAAAAUUAUGAAAACCAUGUGCAUAUAUAUCUGUGUUUCUCUUAGAAAUGAUUCCCUUUUGUCAUUUGGUCAUCAAAGGAUCUGAAAAUGGCAAUUGCAGAACUAUAUGUGUACAAGGUUUUCUUUUUCUCUUCUUUUUCCUUUUUGAUGUUCGUAGGGUUUGAUGUUGUUUUUUUUUCAUGUGAGUUGUUGUAAUCAAAGUUAGGCCUUGAGAGUAUGGAGAGGGAACAAACGUUCUGGUAUACAUUACAUUGUAUUUGAGUCGAUCGGGUAGAUGUCAAUUCUGUGAUAUGAAAACCUCAAAGCAGUAUGUACGUAUGCAUGUUCUACUUGCUUCUUGGGGGCCAAAUGAAUGCUUAUAGUAAUAAGGUAAGACAGAGAGCCAUGCAC